ACUACAGAGUUUUAGGUAGAGUGGCAACAUGAUCAGAUUUGCAUUUUGGAAAAGAAAGUCCAUAGUGGUGGUGGUUUUAUGGAGGAAGGACCAAAUCUGGUGCCAGCAGAGGCAAGGGCAGGAGCUGGGGAGCAGUGAAGGGGAGAGAAUCCUGGCAAGCAGCGACGUUUAAGGGACAAGAGCAGUUUAGGAGGCAGAAGGAGAACUGAAGACAGUCCAGGGAGAAAGUGGCUUCAAGAAACUGAAAUAAGUUCAGCAAGAUAAAAACUCAACACUAUCCCUGGGAUCUGGAACUUGCUCAUUGGUGAGAGCAAGAGCAGUUCCUGUGGCAUGGACAGAAGUUAGAUUUCUGUGGAUCAAAGAACAAAUGGGAGGUGGAGUUUAAUUGUGUUUCCUCUGAAUACGGGCUGGUUUUAGUGAACCGCUUUUAACAAAUGGAAUGUGACAGAGUGGUGUGUGUGACUUCUGCGACUUGGUCAUAAAAGGCAUUGUGGCUUCCCUCUUGCUCUCUCGGAUCACUUUGUUUGAGGGAAACCAGCUGCCAUGCUGUAAGGACCCUCAAGCAGCCCUGUGGAGAGGUUCCUCUGGUGAGGAACUGGGGCCUCCUACCAAUAGCCCUGUGAGUGCACCAUCUUGGAAGCAGAUCUUCCAGAACCAGUCAAGCCUCCAAUGGUUAAAGCCCAAGCUGACAUCUUCACAGAAACCUCAUGAAAGACUGUGAGCCAGAACCAUCAGUUAAGUUGCUCCUUCACUUCUGCCGCAUAAAAAUUGUGGGAUGAUAUAUGCUUAUUGUUUUAAGCCACUAAAUGUUGGGGUAAUUGGGAACCCAAGAUAGUUUAUUUACAGCAACAGAUAGGAAGAUAGAGUACAUGAGGACACUGUGGUGGAUGAGUAAAAGUGGAAUGAAGAAUUUGUGGAGAUUCCCCUCAAAUUGCUUCAGCUUUCUCAGUGACACAGGAAGCAAGAUCAAUAGCUGAGAGUUGAGGGUAAAGAUGGAAAAAGAAGUGUUGGAGGAGUGAGGAGAAAGGAAAAGUAAAAUAGUUGUAUUGGGUACAGAUGGGGGACAGAUAGAAUGAACAAGGCAAAUGUAGUAGGAUGGUAGGCCAUAUUAAGGACACAAAGGAAGUAUGUCUGCAGUCAUCAUAUAAAAUGAGACAGUGUGUUGUGUGCUUUGCUUCGGCAAUUUCAACUGCAUUCGUGCAGAAGCAGAGUAGGUGGGGAGUUGGAUUAAACCAGGGAUGUACUUUUGCCAAGUGAGUACUAUAUGACACAAAAUAGGGCAAGGUGUAUGCAAAGGAGUGUUUAUACAAAUCAGUCUAAUUGCCUUCUUAAAAAUCAUUUUGGUGUUCUGCUUCCAGGAAGAUGGAGUAAACAUAUUUUGCCCUUUUCCUCCUGUUAAGAACAACUAAGAUGCCUGGACAUUAUAUAUAAAACAAACACAAAAAGAAUCUGAAAGGUGGAGAGAAGAAAGCAGAUUGUCAAGGGACUUCAGAACCCUAGAAAUGAACUUGUGGUGAAUAGUUAAACUGUGGUUCAUUCUACCAUGGAAUAUUACUCAUCAAUAAAAAGGGAUGAACUACUGACAUAUACAAUAAAGUGGACAACGGACUCUCCAGUGAAUUAUGCUUAGUGAAAAAAGUAAAUCGCAAAGGUUAUACUGUACAAUUCAAUUUAUAUAACAUUCUGGAAAUGACAAAAUUAUAAAAGUCUAUUACAGAUGUGUGGUUAACAGAAGUUAAAGAAGGAGGAAGGGAAGAAGGUGACUGGAAAGUGAAAGUGGCUAUCAAAGGACAAGAUGGGGAGUCCUUGUGGUGACGGAAAUGUUCUGUAUCUUGACUCUAUCAGUGAUAAUGUCCUCAUUGUGGCAUCACUAUGGAUUUACAAGAUGCAGCCACUGGGGGGAAAGUGGGUAAAGGGAACACCCACUCUCUCUGUAUUAUUUCUGACAACUGCAUGUGAAUUUACAUUUAUCUGUUAAAAUGAAACAUUUAAUUUAAAAUAUUAUUUGUUUUACUUCCAGUUGCUUUUAAAAUAAAAUGUGGCCCACAGCUGUCCACUGAUCCUAUCUA